UACGGGGGGGGCAAGCGUUGUUCGGAAUUACUGGGCGUAAAGGGCGCGUAGGCGGUUUGCUAAGUUGGAUGUGAAAACUCUGGGCUUAACCCAGAGCCUGCAUCCAAAACUGGCAAACUUGAGUACUGGAGGGGAAAGCGGAAUUCCUGGUGUAGCGGUGAAAUGCGUAGAGUAUCAGGAGGAACACCGGUAGCGAAGGCGGCUUUCUGGACAGUAACUGACGCUGAGGCGCGAAAGCUAGGGGAGCAAACAGG
rnacentral:rRNA from 1 species